UGAGUGGCGACCGGCGCACGGGUGCGUAACGCGUAUGCAAGCCUUCCUUGUACAGAGGGAUAGCCCAUGGAAACGUGGAUUAAUAUCUCAUAGUAUCACAAUUUCGCACUGUUAUUCGUGAUUAAAGCUUCGGCGGUACAAGAUGGGCAGUGCGUAAGAUUAGCUAGUUGGUGAGGUAACUGCUCACCAAGGCAAGCGAUCUCUACGGGUUCUGAGAGGAUUAUCCCCCACACUGGUACUGACGACACGGACCAGACUCCUACGGGAGGCAGCAGUGAGGAAUAUUGGUCAAUGGGCGCAAGCCUGAACCAGCCAUGUCGCGUGCAGGAUGACUGCCCUAUGGGUUGUAAACUGCUUUAUUACAGGAAUAAUUGCAUCUACGUGUAGGUGUUUGAAGGUACUGUAGGACUAAGGAUCGGCUAACUCCGUGCCAGCAGCCGCGGUAAUACGGAGGAUUCGAGCGUUAUCCGGAUUUAUUGGGUUUAAAGGGUCCGUAGGCGGGCGAUUAAGUCAGUGGUGAAAUCUCACAGCUCAACUGUGAAACUGACUUUGAUACU
rnacentral:rRNA from 1 species